rnacentral:rRNA from 1 species
UACGUAGGGGGCAAGCGUUGUCCGGAUUUAUUGGGCGUAAAGAGCGUGUAGGCGGCCAGGUAGGUCAGCUGUGAAAACUCGAGGCUCAACCUCGAGACGUCGGUUGAAACCACCUGGCUAGAGUCCGGAAGAGGAGAGUGGAAUUCCUGGUGUAGCGGUGAAAUGCGCAGAUAUCAGGAGGAACACCGGUGGCGAAGGCGGAUCUCUGGGCCUUACCUGACGCUGAGGAGCGAAAGCAUGGGGAGCAAACAGG